UCUUUCUUGUGGCUCAGCCAGUAGAACAUUGCACUAGCAAUGCCAAAGUAAUGGGUUCAAACCCCAGUGAAAGCA